rnacentral:lncRNA from 1 species
AGCUGGAUGGCGGGCUUAAUAUAGAAUAUUGAAGGGAGCGGCCUGUCAUAAGGGUGCAUAUUAGCAGAAGGAACACCAGCAGCUGAGUUUUGGAGCCUGGAACAUUUGUCUUUUCGUGAGGUGCUUUGCUUUAUCCAUUCUCAGGAUUUUGGAAUGGAGCCCUGAAGUGCAGGUUAUAGACCUGGUGGCAGCACCUAAGCCCUGGAGGAGGCUGUAUCUCCCAGAGGAUGAUCAGUUCCGGGGAUCAGUAACUACCAUUGAUUUGGAUUCUGAAACAGCUUCAACAUUUGGAAACGUGGUCACCUUGUGUAUCAGGCUGUUCACAAGAGAUCAUUCAACAGGCCCGAUUGGUGUCAUUACCCCACCCAACAGGAAUUUCUAUACCUUUUAAUCAUUUUAUGUGUACACAUUGGUUGCCCUUAUAUUGGAAGGGUGAGAUCUUUAAGCCAAAAAUUGUUUCUCUUGAAUAUAAUGUCUAAUACCAUAAUAAACAAUGGUCUUUGGUGAUUCUUGAAUAUGCA